rnacentral:tRNA from 1 species
GCAAGGGUAGCUCAGUCAGGACAGAGCUCAUAACCUAAGUAGGCUAUGUUGUCGCUGGUUCAAAUCCAGCCCCUUGCU